rnacentral:rRNA from 1 species
UACAGAGGUCCCAAGCGUUGUUCGGAUUCAUUGGGCGUAAAGGGUGCGUAGGCGGCGCGGUAAGUCGGGUGUGAAAUCUCGGGGCUUAACUCCGAAACUGCAUUCGAUACUGCCGUGCUUGAGGACUGGAGAGGAGACUGGAAUUUACGGUGUAGCGGUGAAAUGCGUAGAUAUCGGGAAGAACACCAAAGGCGAAAGCACUCUGCUGGGCCGAAACUGACACUGAUAGACGAAAGCUAGGGGAGCAAAUGGG